CUCCAAUGUGCUGAGGGCAAUUGCAUGGGGCAGCUGAUAAAUAUGGGCUAAAUUGCAUAAUCUUAGCAUAUUUCAUGCAUCAAUAUCAUGGCAGGUGGUAACAUAAAUAUAUCAUCUAUAAAGAUGGUGAAGGGUCUGGAGGGCAAGAUGCAUGAGGAGCGGCUGAGGUCCCUGGGUUUGCUCAGCCCAGAGCAGAGCAGGCCGAGGGGAGGCCUCAUGGCGGCCUGCAGCUCCCUCACGAGGGGAGCGGAGGGGCAGGCGCUGAGCUCUGCUCUCUGGGGACAGCGACAGGACCCCACUGUGGUGGCAGACAGGGUUCCCAUCUGCUCUCUCAUUACAGAAGCCAUGAAGGUCUUCAUCUCAGGUCUAGAUGAGCAUCUUGGUGGGCUCCAGCAGUGAUGAAGAACACCACAGCAGAUGAAGAGACACAUGAAUGAAUUCCCAGAGUCCCAAAUACCCAGUGGCCAGGAAUAUACUGGACGUAAAUGCUUACUCUCUUGUGACCGUGGAGGUUGGUGUCUAGGGCCCCAUUGUGAGCCAUUUCCUUCUACACAUGGUGCAGGCUCCAGCUCUCAGCAGCAUGAGGUCUGUGUUGUGUAGCCCCUUGGCUUGGGAAGAUGGAUGAUAGUUCGGGUCUGCUGGACACCACUGUCCUAGGACCUGAGUCCAAACAAGGCUCUGACAUGAGCCCUCAUGAUGCAAACAGUUCUCAUUCUGUGUGUGUAAGACUGAAGAUGACAAACAGUGAUGGAGAAGAAGGGUCUUUGGAUCUUUGGUUACUGGUAUCUCCACUAGUGUUGGGCUUCAACAUCCUAUGAGAAGGCAGUGAACUCCUGAGAGAGAGUAUACUUUAUAAUUAAUUUCAAAAUGUGUGAUGUUAGUUUGGUCCUUCUGCUGGUGGAUUCAAUGUUUAGGCCUGUGUUGAUUUCUGUGCUCAGGAGUGCAGCUCCCAAAGUCUUUUGAAAAUGAGCACCAAGUCAGAUCAUGGAAUAAAUCUGUUUAGAGUUGGACUACGCA
rnacentral:lncRNA from 1 species